rnacentral:rRNA from 1 species
AGGCCUAACACAUGCAAGUCGAACGGUAACAGAAAGCAGCUUGCUGCUUUGCUGACGAGUGGCGGACGGGUGAGUAAUGUCUGGGAAACUGCCUGAUGGAGGGGGAUAACUACUGGAAACGGUAGCUAAUACCGCAUAACGUCGCAAGACCAAAGAGGGGGACCUUCGGGCCUCUUGCCAUCGGAUGUGCCCAGAUGGGAUUAGCUAGUAGGUGGGGUAACGGCUCACCUAGGCGACGAUCCCUAGCUGGUCUGAGAGGAUGACCAGCCACACUGGAACUGAGACACGGUCCAGACUCCUACGGGAGGCAGCAGUGGGGAAUAUUGCACAAUGGGCGCAAGCCUGAUGCAGCCAUGCCGCGUGUAUGAAGAAGGCCUUCGGGUUGUAAAGUACUUUCAGCGGGGAGGAAGGGAGUAAAGUUAAUACCUUUGCUCAUUGACGUUACCCGCAGAAGAAGCACCGGCUAACUCCGUGCCAGCAGCCGCGGUAAUACGGAGGGUGCAAGCGUUAAUCGGAAUUACUGGGCGUAAAGCGCACGCAGGCGGUUUGUUAAGUCAGAUGUGAAAUCCCCGGGCUCAACCUGGGAACUGCAUCUGAUACUGGCAAGCUUGAGUCUCGUAGAGGGGGGUGGAAUUCCAGGUGUAGCGGUGAAAUGCGUAGAGAUCUGGAGGAAUACCGGUGGCGAAGGCGGCCCCCUGGACGAAGACUGACGCUCAGGUGCGAAAGCGUGGGGAGCAAACAGGAUUAGAUACCCUGGUAGUCCACGCCGUAAACGAUGUCGACUUGGAGGUUGUGCCCUUGAGGCGUGGCUUCCGGAGCUAACGCGUUAAGUCGACCGCCUGGGGAGUACGGCCGCAAGGUUAAAACUCAAAUGAAUUGACGGGGGCCCGCACAAGCGGUGGAGCAUGUGGUUUAAUUCGAUGCAACGCGAAGAACCUUACCUGGUCUUGACAUCCACAGAACUUUCCAGAGAUGGAUUGGUGCCUUCGGGAACUGUGAGACAGGUGCUGCAUGGCUGUCGUCAGCUCGUGUUGUGAAAUGUUGGGUUAAGUCCCGCAACGAGCGCAACCCUUAUCCUUUGUUGCCAGCGGUCCGGCCGGGAACUCAAAGGAGACUGCCAGUGAUAAACUGGAGGAAGGUGGGGAUGACGUCAAGUCAUCGUGGCCCUUACGACCAGGGCUACACACGUGCUACAAUGGCGCAUACAAAGAGAAGCGACCUCGCGAGAGCAAGCGGACCUCAUAAAGUGCGUCGUAGUCCGGAUUGGAGUCUGCAACUCGACUCCAUGAAGUCGGAAUCGCUAGUAAUCGUGGAUCAGAAUGCCACGGUGAAUACGUUCCCGGGCCUUGCACA